rnacentral:ncRNA from 1 species
GGGUAACACCAUAUAUUAAUCCUUAUGGAAGGAUAAAACUCCUCAAGCAAUCCUUGCUUGUACAAUCACAAUAUUCUUCAUUAUGUUUCAUUACAUUGCCUACAAUUCUUUAUAUAGCUCUCCCUAUCUCUUAAGAACCUUCUAGAGAGCCUUUUCACAUUUAUUACAUCCAACUACCAUAGUGGGCUUUUAUUAAUAUAGUGAACCUAGUCCACCUUACAUUGAAUGACGACAUUCUCAUAUAUUAAUUGACUUCCACUAAUAACACAUAACUACAUUCCCAUUGGGUACCUCCCUAGGACUACUAAAAGGUGUGUGUUGCAUGGACAAGAGACUACCAGUGAUAUGUUGGAGGAAGGUGAGGAUGAUGUCAAUUCUGCAUGGCCCUUAUGGGUUGGGCCACACACAUGAUACAAUGGAAAUGAAAAUGGGAAGCAAGGUUGUAAGGCAGAGUGAAUUCAGAAAGACUACCUCAGUUCGGAUUGUUCUCUGCAACUCGAGAACAUGAAAUUGGAAUCGCUAGUAAUCGUGGAUCAACAUGCUGUGGUGAAUAUGUACUCAGGCCCUGUACACACCACCCGUCACACCCUGGGAGUUGAUUUCGCCCGAAGCAUCAUACCAAUGAUCACCCUAUAUUUAUAUGUUCCACUAGUGUGGCCCACAGAGGUUGGGGUGGUAUUAUUGGUGCAUACCACAGUGGGGUCUUCGACUGGGGUGAAGUCAUAACAAGGUAGUCAUAGGGGAACUCGUGGCUG